rnacentral:rRNA from 1 species
UACGUAGGGUGCAAGCGUUGUCCGGAAUUAUUGGGCGUAAAGGGCUCGUAGGCGGUCUGUCGCGUCGGGAGUGAAAACUCAGGGCUUAACCCUGAGCCUGCUCCCGAUACGGGCAGACUAGAGGUAUGCAGGGGAGAACGGAAUUCCUGGUGUAGCGGUGAAAUGCGCAGAUAUCAGGAGGAACACCGGUGGCGAAGGCGGUUCUCUGGGCAUUACCUGACGCUGAGGAGCGACAGUGUGGGGAGCGAACAGG